UUAGCUCAGUUGGUAGAGCGCCACCCUUACAAGGUGGAUGUCAUAAGUUCGAGUCUUAUA
rnacentral:tRNA from 1 species